UUGGAGUCAUACAUUUGAUUCAUAAAGAGGAGUGAAGAGAGUUCUCUCUUCACUCUUUUAUUUUAGGA
rnacentral:sRNA from 1 species